rnacentral:rRNA from 1 species
GAGUUUGAUGUGGCUCAGAUUGAACGCUGGCGGCAUGCCUUACACAUGCAAGUCGAACGGCAGCAUGAUCUAGCUUGCUAGAUUGAUGGCGAGUGGCGAACGGGUGAGUAAUACAUCGGAACGUGCCCUGUAGUGGGGGAUAACUAGUCGAAAGAUUAGCUAAUACCGCAUACGACCUGAGGGUGAAAGUGGGGGACCGCAAGGCCUCAUGCUAUAGGAGCGGCCGAUGUCUGAUUAGCUAGUUGGUGGGGUAAAGGCCCACCAAGGCGACGAUCAGUAGCUGGUCUGAGAGGACGAUCAGCCACACUGGGACUGAGACACGGCCCAGACUCCUACGGGAGGCAGCAGUGGGGAAUUUUGGACAAUGGGCGAAAGCCUGAUCCAGCAAUGCCGCGUGUGUGAAGAAGGCCUCGG